rnacentral:lncRNA from 1 species
CCCCUCUUCUAUUUAAAAUGAAGGUUUGUGUCAAAUAUGGGGAUGCAAGGCAUCUCAAUCAUGACUGUAGAAAUCCUUAUAAAUAUUUUCAUUACAGUAAGUAUGGCGACACUUUUGUUUUAUGCAAAACUACUCGUUCAACCUCAUUGAUUCCAUCUAAUCCAUAGCACCAUCAACAUUCCUCCUCAACACCAUCCAUCCCUACUUCAUCGACCACCUUCUUGCCUUCCC